GCUAGCGACAGGCCUAACACAUGCAAGUCGAGGGGUAACGGAAGUAGCUUGCUACUAGCUGACGACCGGCGCACGGGUGAGUAACGCGUAUGCAACCUACCUGUAACAGGGAGAUAGCCCAGGGAAACUUGGAUUAAUGCCCCAUAAUAUUUUCGAGAUGCAUAUCUUGAAUCUUAAAGUUUCGACGGUUACAGAUGGGCAUGCGUGACAUUAGUUAGUUGGUAAGGUAACGGCUUACCAAGACUUUGAUGUCUACGGGGUCUUAAAGGAUGGUCCCGCACACUGGUACUGAGACACGGACCAGACUCCUACGGGAGGCAGCAGUGAGGAAUAUUGGUCAAUGGGCGCAAGCCUGAACCAGCCAUGCCGCGUGAAGGAUGACGGCCCUACGGGUUGUAAACUUCUUUUAUACAGGAAGAAAAUACCUUACGUGUAAGGUACUGACGGUACUGUAAGAAUAAGGAUCGGCUAACUCCGUGCCAGCAGCCGCGGUAAUACGGAGGAUCCAAGCGUUAUCCGGAUUUAUUAGGUUUAAAGGGUCCGCAGGCGGACUUUUAAGUCAGUGGUGAAAUCCUGCAGCUUAACUGCAGAACUGCCAUUGAUACUGAAAGUCUUGAGUGUGGUUGAGGUAGGCGGAAUGUGUUGUGUAGCGGUGAAAUGCUUAGAUAUAACACAGAACACCAAUUGCGAAGGCAGCUUGCUAAACCAUAACUGACGCUCAUGGACGAAAGCGCGGGGAGCGAACAGGAUUAGAUACCCUGGUAGUCCGCGCCGUAAACGAUGAUUACUCGUUGUGCGCGAUACACAGUGCGUGACUGAGCGAAAGCAUUAAGUAAUCCACCUGGGGAGUACGUUCGCAAGAAUGAAACUCAAAGGAAUUGACGGGGGCCCGCACAAGCGGAGGAACAUGUGGUUUAAUUCGAUGAUACGCGAGGAACCUUACCUGGACUUAAAUGUAGCGUGAUCGUACCUGAAAGGGUAUUUCUCUUCGGAGCAGGUUACAAGGUGCUGCAUGGCUGUCGUCAGCUCGUGCCGUGAGGUGUCGGGUUAAGUCCCAUAACGAGCGCAACCCCUAUUGUUAGUUGCUAACAGGUCAAGCUGAGGACUCUAGCGAGACUGCCACCGUAAGGUGAGAGGAAGGUGGGGAUGACGUCAAGUCAGCACGGCCCUUACGUCCAGGGCUACACACGUGUUACAAUGGUCGGUACAGAGAGCAGCUACUUGUGACAAGAUGCGAAUCUUUAAAAGCCGGUCUUAGUUCGGAUCGAAGUCUGCAACUCGACUUCGUGAAGUUGGAUUCGCUAGUAAUCGCAUAUCAGCCAUGAUGCGGUGAAUACGUUCCCGGGCCUUGUGCACACCGCCCGUCAAGCCAUGGAAGCUGGGGGUACCUGAAGUCCGUAACCAUUAGGAUCGGCCUAGGGUAAAA
rnacentral:rRNA from 1 species